UUUUCUUUCCCUGAAACAUUGCAAGGUAUUGAAGAUAGCCUUUUUUGUCAUUUCAUUGGAAAAAUCUGAAUUGCAUCAAAUGACUUGGACAAAGAUUUAUCGCUUGCUUGAUGAUCCUGACUUCACUGUGGAGAGAAACAACUCACUGUACCUCCAAGAAAGCACAUCUUCAAGACUUAUUAUGGGACGUGACUUCCAAAUGUGUAUGUCAAAUCCUCAUACAAAUGCCUUAUGGUACGGUUUGCUGGAAUUGAGGCUCAGCAUUUAAAUAAACACCAGAAGAGAAACUUCAA
rnacentral:lncRNA from 1 species